rnacentral:rRNA from 1 species
AUGGGAGAUAACAGCAAGGAUAAGAGUGUGGAUUCAAGUGUUGAAAAACUUUGUGAAAGUAUGCAGCGAAUGCUUGCUCAGCUGAUGGAGCAGGCCCAAGUAAAGUCUAGUAGCUCGACUGAAAUUCAGAAGUCUAUCCUUGAACCGAAUCCAGUUAAAUUGACUGGCCCGGGCGACUAUUUUAGUUGGGCUCGCAAUGCCUCGUUAAUUUUGGAAGCUCAUGGCCUGCAUAAGUACCUAAGUGAAGAUGAGAAGAAACCAACGGAUGUAGUGCAGGAGCAGUGGGAGCAGAAUCAAAAGCGAGUCAUGGUUUGGCUACUGGGCUCAAUGGAAAAAACUGUUCGGGAACAAGUUGAAAGUUUUCAAACUGCUGCUGAAGUCUGGACAAGCAUUGAAAAACAGUUUUCUGGUAAAUCAAACAAAAUGCAGGUUAGCAGAAUAUUGCAUGAGAUGUGGCACUUUAGGCAAGAUCAAAAAUCAGUUACAGAAUAUGCAGGGGAACUCAAGAAACUUUAUAGAGAUCUGGAGUUCUUCCGGCCAUUCAAGCCACAUGAUCCUAGAGAUUUAUCUCUCCUCAGAGAAUGGUUUGAACCAUUGUUGGUGCAGGGUUUUUUGGAAGGCCUGAAUCCCGAGUUUAAACUUCGCUCUCAGAUGAUACAAGCAUCUCCUGACUGGCCUACCUUGGAUCAAACUAUUGCUAGUAUCCUUGAAGAAGAAACUCAUUUGGCUAACCAGGAAGCAACGCCACAGAUGCAUGGUGAUAAUCGUGCUGCACUUACUCACGCACAAACCUCUGUUGCUUCUAGGAGUGAUCAAGCAAAUACUACUAAGUUUGACUACAGAAGGAGAAACAAAGUUGUGUGUGAUCAUUGUAAGAUGCCUGGCCAUGUGAAGAAGAAUUGUUUCGAGUUGGUUGGUUAUCCUCCGGGAUGGAAGCAAAGACAAACAAGCAGGUUCAACGGCAGCGGUAACAACUUUGAGAAGAAGCAGGACCGAGCUCAUCUUACAUCAUCGACAAAAGAGUUACCUGCAACCGCUGCUCAUGCACUAGAAGAGUUCAAGGCAAAGUUGAUGGCCGUUGCUACCGAAGGAUCUAGUGAAGCUGUCGGCUCUCGCGCUACAGAAGGAUUUGAAGUCAGGAAGAAUUCUUGGGACUGGAACUGA